GGCCUGUUAGCUCAGCUGGUUAGAGCGUGGUGCUAAUAACGCCAAGGUCGUGGGUCGAUCCCCACAUGGGCCA
rnacentral:tRNA from 1 species